CGCAUCUGUGCAUGCAGCAUAUCAAUAAGCGGAGGAAAAGAAACUAACAAGGAUUCUCCUAGUAACGGCGAGUGAAGCGGGAAGAGCUCAAAUUUGAAAUCUUAAAGGGUUUCCCUUUACGAAUUGUAGUUUAAAGAAGUGUUUUCUGUUGAGGUUUUGGUAAAAGUUCUUUGGAAUAGGACAUCAUAGAGGGUGAGAAUCCCGUAUUUGACCUUUACUUUCAACUUUGUAAUACACUUUCAAAGAGUCGGAUUGUUUGGGAAUGCAGUCCAAAAUGGGUGGUAAAUUUCAUCUAAAGCUAAAUAUUGGCGAGAGACCGAUAGCGAACAAGUACCGUGAGGGAAAGAUGAAAAGAACUUUGAAAAGAGAGUUAAACAGUACGUGAAAUUGUCAAAAGGGAAGCGUUUGACACCAGUGUUGUUUUUCUGAAAAUCAAUUAAAGAACUGUUUAUGCUAAGCUGUUUAGACUUUAUCAGCUAACUGUUUAGUUUUGAGCUUUUCUUUAAUGCACUUUUCAGUUAACAAGUCAACAUCAAUUUCUUUUGCUGUAAAAAAGCUUGAGGAAGGUGGCUUGAGAUUCGUCUUAAGUGUUUAUAGCCUCUUGCCUAUGCAGUCGGAGAGAUUGAGGUCUGCAGCGUAGAUCCUUCGGGGCUAAAUGCAUUUGUGCUAAGUUAUAGCAUUUUAUAGACAACUUGUUGACUAUGAUUUGUCUUGUAGCUUACUCGCUUAUGUUAUUUUACCUACGCUUAGGAUGUUGACUGAUAUGUAGUCGUA
rnacentral:rRNA from 1 species